rnacentral:rRNA from 1 species
UAGGGAAUCUUCGGCAAUGGACGGAANUUUGGACCGAGCAACGCCGGCGUGAGUGAAGAAGGUUUUCGGAUCGUAAAGCUCUGUUGUAAGAGAAGAACGAGUGUGAGAGUGGAAAGUUCACACUGUGACGGUAUCUUACCAGAAAGGGACGGCUAACUACGUGCCAGCAGCCGCGGUAAUACGUAGGUCCCGAGCGUUGUCCGGAUUUAUUGGGCGUAAAGCGAGCGCAGGCGGUUAGAUAAGUCUGAAGUUAAAGGCUGUGGCUUAACCAUAGUAGGCUUUGGAAACUGUUUAACUUGAGUGCAAGAGGGGAGAGUGGAAUUCCAUGUGUAGCGGUGAAAUGCGUAGAUAUAUGGAGGAACACCGGUGGCGAAAGNGGCUCUCUGGCUUGUAACUGACGCUGAGGCUCGAAAGCGUGGGGAGCAAACAGGAUUAGAUACCCUGGUAGUCCACGCUGUAAACGAUGAGUGCUAGGUGUUAGACCCUUUCCGGGGUUUAGUGCCGUAGCUAACGCAUUAAGCACUCCGCCUGGGGAGUACGACCGCAAGGUUG